GCGGCCGGUGUCCCCGCGGCGCCGGGCUGCCGAGCAGAGGAGCCGCGGCGGCCGUGGCUGUUGCAUGUGUGGCUGCUGGAUGCGGAGGCGGCGGCGGCGGCGGCGGCGAGGAGCAGCAGCGGCGGCAGGAUGUUAGGGCAGCAGCAGCAGCAACUAUACUCGUCGGCCGCGCUCCUGACCGGGGAGCGGAGCCGGCUCCUCACCUGCUACGUGCAGGACUACCUCGAGUGUGUGGAGUCGCUGCCCCACGACAUGCAGAGGAACGUGUCUGUGCUUCGGGAGCUGGACAACAAAUAUCAAGAAACAUUAAAGGAAAUUGAUGAUGUCUAUGAAAAAUAUAAGAAAGAAGAUGAUUCAAACCAGAAAAAACGCCUACAGCAGCAUCUCCAGAGAGCAUUAAUCAAUAGUCAGGAAUUGGGAGAUGAAAAAAUUCAGAUUGUCACGCAGAUGCUCGAAUUGGUGGAAAAUCGGGCAAGGCAGAUGGAGCUGCAUUCACAGUGUUUUCAGGAUCCUGCUGAAGGUGAGCGCGCCUCGGAUAAGGCAAAGAUGGAUUCCAGCCAACCAGAAAGAUCUUCCAGAAGACCCCGCAGACAGAGAACCAGUGAAAGCCGUGAUUUAUGCCACAUGACGAAUGGGAUUGAAGACUGUGAUGAUCAGCCACCUAAAGAAAAGAAAUCCAAGUCAGCCAAGAAAAAGAAGCGCUCCAAGGCCAAGCAGGAGAGGGAAGCUUCGCCUGUUGAGUUUGCAAUAGAUCCCAAUGAACCUACAUACUGUUUAUGUAACCAAGUGUCUUAUGGGGAAAUGAUCGGAUGUGACAAUGAACAGUGUCCAAUUGAAUGGUUUCACUUUUCAUGUGUCUCACUCACCUAUAAACCAAAGGGGAAAUGGUAUUGCCCAAAGUGCAGGGGAGAUAAUGAGAAAACAAUGGACAAAAGUACUGAGAAGGCAAAAAAGGAUAGAAGAUCGAGGUAGUAAAUGCCAUCCACAUUUUAAAAGGUUAUUUGUCUUUUAUAUAAUUCUUUCAGAAUUUACUUUCAGAAAAUGUUUUAGGGUAAAUGCAUAAGACUAUGCAAUAAUUUUUAAUCAUUAGUAUUAACGGUGUAUUAAACGUUGUUGUACUUUGUCUGUGACUUUAAUUUUCUGCACUGAAUUACCAAAUAUUUUAAACCAGGUAGUCUUUAGAUCGCCUGAUGAAAGGAGCAGGGAAUAGGGAGAGGGUGGUGUGAGCAUUAGAACUUCACAAACCAGGCCUAUUUCAUUUUCAUUGAAAACCACAAUGCUGUUUCUGAGGUAAACACCAAAGUUUUGCUAGUAUUUUAGUUCUCUGUGCUUUAAAAAUUUAGAUGAAGUUGGAGUUCUCUGUAAGCAUUCAGAUCAUCUUGGGUAAUUUAAGGUAUGAACACUACAUUUAGAGCUUCUUUCUCCCUAGCCCCAUUUAUACAUACACUUGUUCAUCUCUAGGCUUCCAUGAAUUUAAGGAGCUAGAGAUAAGAAUAAUUUGGGAUUCCAUGUGGAAUAAUGUGCUCUUAUUAGAGUAUUUGCUGCUGUAUUUUCCUUAGUAGCAUUUUGAUACACUGUCAGUAGCCCAUUUGUAAAUGCCUUCCUGCUGCAUCAUAGAUACAUUUAAUCUAGUGCUUAAUAAGGGAGUUGUGUUUUGUUUUGUUUUAAUUGGGACAGGUAAGCAUAGUUAGGAUAUCAAAAAUGGUGCCAUUGGCUUAUAUUGGAAAAUUUGGGGUUCUGUAGUAUCAUGGUUCAAGGCUGAGCAAUUUAGAAAAAGCAUCUUCUUUAAAAACAUUUUCCACGUGACCCACUGCUGAGUUGCCUAGCCACGGGCCUAUCAGUGGGGACAAGGGCAUAUACUAGUCUUUAAAUAUUGCCUUUAUGUCAAACAGGAGUUUCAAUAGUUUUGCUAGUGGCUAUAGUUGAUUUCUGUCCCAAUCAGUGAUUAUAUAUUAUUUUAAGUAAUAGUGUAUUCACUUUCACUUUCUGGUACUGGUGCUGUUUGAUGUUUUCAUGUUUAAUGAACUAAUUUCAUUAUAACAAUGCAAUUAAUAAUGUAUUUGUAAAUUGAAUUUUCCAAGAUCCUGGUACUUUAAGAGUAAGCAUAUUGAUGGAUAUAUAUGAACAUAUAUUCGGAGAAUUGUUUGGUCUGGGGGAGGAGGCAGAUGAUUGACCAGUCCUUUAAAUCUGUGUGUAACGUAACUUUUUAUUCCUCAUUUCUUCCUAAUCUGAUGAUCUCGAUUCUUUUUGAUUAGCGUGAAAAAUUCUGUCUGCUUGUUUGGAACAAAAAAAAAAAUUGUUUUUUCUUCUUCUAACUCUCCUGUGUGACUUUUAGGCAUGUUAUUUCCUCUCAUCUGGGUGUCCAGUUACACAUCUGUAAUACAAAAUACAAGGUUGGCUUCAGUAUCUCCAAGGUUUUUUUGAAAUCUAUAGUUUUUGCACUAUGGUAAGGAUUUUAAUAAUCAAAUGACUUGUUUUUCUCUUUUGUUAAUUUUGUCCCUCAUACUGAGAUAUGAAAAUACUUUAAAGGUGAUCUUUGAGACAGGUAAAUGCACAAUAUUUGAUUAACUUCUGUCCUGAGGAUAUUUUGCUUGAUGACUGGAACUAGUUGGUUAUAUUACUUCUUGAGCGAGAAGUAUUAGACAGCAUGAUGAAGAAUUUAUUUGUUGUAACAUAGUUGAGUUGUAAAGACAUUCUUUUCUCUCUUGAAAAUACAGCAUUUUGUCUUAGUGAUGACAUCCUUAUUACCAAGAUAGAGCUGUUUACCUGACACCAUUAAAAAUAUCGGUGAUUCUAAUAUACAGAAAAGUUUUGGAACCACUGCCAUAUUAUGAAAAUUUGAACCUGUUCGAAACUGGGUGUCUUCUCUACAUUCAGACUUAUGGGACUCUGAAGCACAUCCAAGUUCUGAAACACGUGCAAGAGGUUGUCCCUCGCACCCAACAGUCUACCAACACUUGAAGACGCCACACUCGAGUGCUGCUUGUGUGCUGUUCUAAGCAGUGGCGGUUUAGAAGACAAUCCUUGCUCACACACCAGACAUUCUGAUAGUCAGAUAUAUGUAAUGGUAGGGAACGGUUUAGAGGGGAGUAAAGUAGAAGAACAGAAAACGGAGGGAAAGAGAGGUGAGUCUUAAUUGUGGUGAUUAAAGAAGGUCUCGAAGGAAGUGAUCUUGGAGCUGAGGCCAGAGGGGGAAAUAAGGGAGGCAGGCAGAGGUUUAAGGGAGAGAGGGGUAAAAACAAGCUCAUCAGUUUAACUAGAACACUUGACACAGUGUGGAAGGGACUAGAAACUGCUGACUCUCGAAAGCCAUGGUAGGAAAUUGGGGAAAGGUUUAUAUUGAAGAGUUUUUUGACGAUCACAAUGAUCAUGCUGCACUCAAAAUCUGGGGAGCCUUAGUGAAAAUAGGGAGUCUCAGGAGACUCAGAAGCCUCUGCACAAGAAAUAUUGAUGGCUUACGGUAGGACUCUGCUUAGGUCUUCAAGAUUAUUUUUUAAAUUCACAGGAUUCCUAUAGUUGCUUUUUAGCUUCAAAUGGAUAUUAGCGAAACUUCAAGGAUUUUGGCCCAGUGAUUGGAAAGCAAAGAGAUGACAAGGGUGACUCGGGUUUUGGGGUUGUGGGGAAAGAUCAAGAUUUCUGUUUGCAUUUGGGUGUCAGAUUCCUGAUAGACUUCUUGUGGGAUCCAACGUGGAGUGGAGGGAGGGGCCGGGCGCUAAACAUGUGGAAAUUAGCCUGUGAGUAGAGUUUAAAGCCAUGCGACUAAAAUCACUUGUAAACACA